rnacentral:tRNA from 1 species
UGUUCUGUGGCUCAGUUGAUUAAAGCGCCGGUUUAGCGAAUACGGAGUCGUGGGUUCAAAUCCCACCAGAACAA